rnacentral:rRNA from 1 species
AUUGAACGCUGGCGGCAGGCCUAACACAUGCAAGUCGAACGGUAGCACAGAGAGCUUGCUCUCGGGUGACGAGUGGCGGACGGGUGAGUAAUGUCUGGGAAACUGCCUGAUGGAGGGGGAUAACUACUGGAAACGGUAGCUAAUACCGCAUAACGUCGCAAGACCAAAGAGGGGGACCUUCGGGCCUCUUGCCAUCAGAUGUGCCCAGAUGGGAUUAGCUAGUAGGUGGGGUAACGGCUCACCUAGGCGACGAUCCCUAGCUGGUCUGAGAGGAUGACCAGCCACACUGGAACUGAGACACGGUCCAGACUCCUACGGGAGGCAGCAGUGGGGAAUAUUGCACAAAGGGCGCAAGCCUGAUGCAGCCAUGCCGCGUGUAUGAAGAAGGCCUUCGGGUUGUAAAGUACUUUCAGCGGGGAGGAAGGUGCUGAGGUUAAUAACCUCAGCAAUUGACGUUACCCGCAGAAGAAGCACCGGCUAACUCCGUG